rnacentral:lncRNA from 1 species
UGCUUCCAAUUUGGAGAAAGAUUUAGUUACUAGCAUGACUUUAAUAGGUACUGAAAAUUUCUACAACCUACUUUUACAUGUGUUUUGAAGCUAAUGUAUCCUGAGCUGCCUGGUGUUUUCAUCAAUGCUCGCGAUGCCAUGGUAGGCCGUUGUGUGGCAUAUUUCUACUUAUGCCUUCAGCUUUUUAGGAAUAAGAGUUAUACUCGAAAAUUUAUACCUAUACUUGACUCUGAAUUUUAUAGCUCUGUGGCUGACUCUUGGCAGCCUCUGGGAUUUAGAGCUCACUGUCUGAAAGAGGUAGCAUUGACAUAGUCAAGGAUAC